rnacentral:rRNA from 1 species
GAUGAACGCUAGCUACAGGCCUAACACAUGCAAGUCGAGGGGCAGCGGGAAGGAAGCUUGCUUUCUUCGCCGGCGACCGGCGCACGGGUGCGUAACGCGUAUCGAACCUACCCUUUACUCGGGAACAGCCUUGCGAAAGCAAGAUUAAUACCCUAUGUUGUAUGUUUGCCGCAUGGCGAAUAUAUUAAAGAUUUAUCGGUAAGAGAUGGGGAUGCGUCCGAUUAGGUAGUAGGCGGGGUAACGGCCCACCUAGCCGACGAUCGGUAGGGGUUCUGAGAGGAAGGUCCCCCACAUUGGAACUGAGACACGGUCCAAACUCCUACGGGAGGCAGCAGUGAGGAAUAUUGGUCAAUGGGCGGGAGCCUGAACCAGCCAAGUAGCGUGCAGGACGACGGCCCUAUGGGUUGUAAACCUCUUUUGUUUGGGAAUAAAGUGCGGGACGUGUCCCGCAUUGCAUGUACCAUUUGAAUAAGGACCGGCUAAUUCCGUG